AUCGCUUCUUGGCCUUUUGGCUAGGAUCAAGUGUAAAAUAUACAUAAAGUAGAAAAAAAAUACCUGUUUUUUGAUUUUUUUUCAUUUUAGUUGGGCAUAUGAGUUUUCUACUCUGAAAUGGUUUUCACUGACAGUGCAAUGAUGUUAGCAUGCAAGGUCUACGUGU
rnacentral:snRNA from 1 species